GAUGAACGCUAGCGGGAGGCCUAACACAUGCAAGUCGAACGCGAAAGUCCUUCGGGAUGAGUAGAGUGGCGGACGGGUGAGUAACGCGUAGGAAUCUAUCCUGUAGUGGGGGAUAACGUUUCGAAAGGAACGCUAAUACCGCAUACGCCCCACGGGGGAAAGCGGGGGAUCUUCGGACCUCGUGCUGUAGGAGGAGCCUGCGUCGGAUUAGCUAGUUGGUGAGGUAAAGGCUCACCAAGGCGACGAUCCGUAGCUGGUCUGAGAGGAUGAUCAGCCACACCGGAACUGAGACACGGUCCGGACUCCUACGGGAGGCAGCAGUGGGGAAUAUUGCGCAAUGGGCGAAAGCCUGACGCAGCCAUACCGCGUGUGUGAAGAAGGCCUUCGGGUUGUAAAGCACUUUCAGUGGGGAGGAAAAGCUGGUGGCUAAUAUCCAUCGGCCGUGACGCUACCCACAGAAGAAGCACCGGCUAAUUCCGUGCCAGCCGCCGCAGUAA
rnacentral:rRNA from 1 species